GGAUAGUUAGCUCGGUUGCUUAGAGCGUGGUGCUAAUAACACCAAGGUCAUGGGUUCAAUCUCCUUAUGGGCCU
rnacentral:tRNA from 1 species